UUACGGUCAUAUCACGUUGAAACACCGGUUUCCGUAUGAUCAUCGAAGUUAAGCAACGUUCAGUUUGUUCAGUACCGAGAUGGGUAACCGUUUGUGAAUACCAGAG